rnacentral:rRNA from 1 species
AUUGAACGCUGGCGGCAGGCCUAACACAUGCAAGUCGAGCGGAGCGGCGGACGGGUGAGUAAUGCCUAGGAAUCUUCCUUGUCGUGGGGGCUAACGUCCGGAAACGGGCGCUCAUACCGCAUACUAUCUGUUGAGCCUAGGUCGGAUGGGCUAGGUGGUGUGGUAAAGGACUACCAAGGCGACGAUCCGUAACUGGUCUGAGAGGAUGAUCAGUCACACUGGAACUGUGACACGGUCCAGACGCCUACGGGAGGCAGCAGUGGGGAAUAUUGGACAAUGGGCGAAAGCCUGAUCCAGCCAUGCCGCGUGUGUGAAGAAGGUCUUCGGAUUGUAAAGCACUUUAAGUUGGGAGGCGUUACCAACAGAAUAAGCACCGGCUAACUUCGUGCCAGCAGCCGCGGUAAUAC